CCUACGGGUGGCAGCAGUGGGGGAUAUUGCACAAUGGGGGGAACCCUGAUGCAGCGACGCCGCGUGGGUGAAGGAGCGUUUCGGCGCGCAAAGCCCUAUCGGCAGGGAAGAAGGAGGACGGUACCUGACUAAGAAGCCCCGACUAACUACGUGCCAGCAGCCGCGGUAAUACGUAGGGGGCAAGCGUUAUCCGGAUUUACUGGGUGUAAAGGGUGCGUAGGCGGUCCGGAAAGUCAGCGGUAAAAGCCCGGGGCUCAACCCCGGCGAGCCGUUGAAACUGUCGGACUAGAGACGGCGAGAAGUACGCGGAAUGCGCGGUGUAGCGGUGAAAUGCAUAGAUAUCGCGCAGAACUCCGAUUGCGAAGGCAGCGUACCGGCGCCGGACUGACGCUGAGGCACGAAAGCGUGGGUAUCGAACAGGAUUAGAUACCCGUGUAGUC
rnacentral:rRNA from 1 species